UGCUGCUGGGAUGCAGCUGCAGCCGUGGAAGCAAGCAGGAGGUGCUGAAGAUUUGGUAGAGCCAGAUAGGCUGAUCUGGAUGUUGGUGCUGGAUCCUCAAGCCAGGGCUUGUCACAGUAUGUGAGAGUUGGUGUGGGGAGCCCAGAGGAAUCCAGCACCGACACAGAGCUGCCUUUGCAGUGUU